CGCCUGGCCUGAAGCGAAGCUGUCUUGCCCGAGAAGAGAGUGGUCACGGUGUCGCGUGGUAACAAAGCUUAGGACGAGGAGAGCCUACAUGAGAAAGGACGUCCUCCGGUUUCUAGACAUUGGAAAGUCGAAGAUUAAGGUCCCAGCCUAUUCUGUUCCCUGUCCAGGACCCUUUUCCUGUCUUGCAGAAGAGAGGAAGGGAAAGGGAGAGAAAAUCAUUGAUCGCUGCCUUCUGCACACCUCCUACUGUGGAUGGAACCUGCAACCCAGACAUGUGCCCUGACCGUGAUUUGAAUCGUGACUCCUAGUGUCAUAGAUCAAUACCCAACCACUGAGCUACACCAAGUCUCCCAUCAGGAUAAAGCAGCAUCUGUCAUGCAAAUACCGCCCUGUGCAGAAGUGAGGGAAGACUGCUGCAGAAGUGAAUACAGGCAACAUCUUUGAUCCCAGGGCACAGGUCUUUGAGAGGAAAUCUCCAAGCCUCUCGAAGAGGCAUUAGAAGGCUAUCCAGGCAGCAAAAGUACCUCAGGAUCAUGGCUGAUAAAAACCAGGAGAUCGGUGACACCCAUUCCCCUUUUCCCUUCACACCCUAUUCCAUCCAGAUAGACUUCAUGACAGUGCUGUACCAGGUGUUGGAAGAUGGCAAGAUUGGGAUAUUUGAGAGUCCAACUGGCACUGUAAGUAUGAACAGUUGCCCCAAGAGGGCUCUUGGGAGACCCUGAUUACAACUAGUCAAUGGUUUAUUUGCCUCUGCAGAGAUUUUCAUGGUUUGGAGUUGGGCAAAGUAGUUUUCUCAGUUUACCUUUCUGAGUAAUGCUCACUUCCCUCUAUUAAAUUGUUAAACACAACCCGGGUUCUAAGGAAAAUUAGGUUACAGGCUAAGGAGAAUUUGAAUGGCAGUGGUUCUCCUUCAGGGAGCAACAUAGAAAUUUAUUGCCCUGCCAGGUUGGGCUCAGUUGGUUGAGCAUUUUCCCAUGUACCAGGAAGUUACUGGUUUGAUUCCUGGUCAGGGCACAUGCCUGGUUUGUGGGUUGAACCCCAGUAGGGGCAUGCAGAAGAUAGCUGAUCAAUGUUUCUUUCUCAUCAAUGUUUCUCUCUCUCCCUCUCCAUUCCUCUCUCUGAAAUAAAUGAAAACAUUUUUUUAAAAAAAGUCAAAUUUAUCAAAUUUGGCGCCAUGGGCUGGUGCUUUUAAUUCUUUUGUCUGUUUCUUAAGAAAUGUACUUUUCUCAUAGCACAUUUUGAAAUUAUAACCUAUGUGCUCUUGUUUCCUGAUUUGUGGAUUUUAGUGAUUGGUACCUUCCUCUUGUGAUGGAUAAGAUAUAGCUUUCUUACCAUCCCUUUUCUCUGCCACUC